GGGCUGGCUGGGACAGAGCAUGCUCUCCUGACAGCAGCCUCUAAGAGCUAGAAUUAAUCUGAAGCUCCCAGGACUUGAAGACAGCAGACACCCCCACGCCCUCAAGGACUUCAGAGACCAGAUUUUACUUUUACGUACUCUCUACACCAAACACCGGGCUCGAACUCACCACCUCGAGAUCAAGAGUUGCACACUCCACCCAACUGAGCCAGCCAGGCACUCCUCAUUUUACCUGUUCUCGAUCUUCGUAGAAGAAGAAUUAUCAACUUUGAAAACCCAGGAAGGCCAGUUUCUGUGUCUGGCUCUGAUGAAUCCCAGUCUGCUCAAUGAAUAAAGCUAACGAUGGAGUCUCUGUACCUUCAUAUUCUGGCCAAUUCUCACCCCAUUUUUGCAACAGAGUGAAAAAUUGGGGUGCGGAUUCACUGAGAGUGCUGUCCAAGCAUCGACAUCAGCCCUGGUUGAACGUCCGCUUAAUAAGCCUGACAGCAACUAUUGUGAAGCAAUGAGAAAAGUAGAAUGAAAGUUUCUAUUUAUUUCUAUCAUUUUUGGGUUGAGAAAUCGGUAUCCUUGAUGCGAUCGUCAAUGUAUCUUGUCAGUGCCAAAUGCAUCGUGAGAGCUGCCUCCCGAUGAUCCACAUGAACGUGAUAUAAAAUAGUGAAACUCAAUGUGAGACAGAAAAGGCAGCAGGACAAUGUUCUCUAGGACGUCUCCUGCGUCUCCCUGGCUGCACUAGCUGGAGGGGGAGACAGAAAACGACCAGGAGAGAAAGAGUUUUGAGCAGCGGAGGACAGUCCUUCAAGCAGUCCCGUUCCUGAUCGCCUUUCUCCAAGCGAACUUGGGUAAGUGCAUAGCAGGGUCUCAGCACCGCGGAGGACAUCUGCCUGCAGAAAACUUUCACAGAUGACGUUCCAAUUUUUGGCUACUUGUGUCCUUUUAGUCUUCACUUAAUUACACAGAUUUUUUUUUUUUUGGUGUAGAGAAUAGAAAAAAAGAAUAUAUAUACAUGUAUAUAUAUGUAAUAAAGCAGCAUUUCCCAAGAGCGUUCCUUAGAAAAUUUGGGCCACAGUAUGUUUACGGGUGUUAGUCAAUGAAUAAAAUUUCACAAGCAAGUGGAACUGCAGAAAAGUAGAUUAUAGUCAAACAGGAUCAGAAUUGCAGAACUACACUGAUCCUUAAUUAUAAUAUUGUCAACCAAGACUCUCUGAGCACGUCAUCAUAUAGCAUUUGUAUAUAUAUGUGUUUAUAACGACAGCAGUAUUUUUCACUCCAGGGGACAUUUAGAAAGAUGACGAGGGGUAUUUGCAUGAUCUACUGCGUGGCUUUUGUCGUUUCAUGGGCAAGAACCAGGGAUGA